GAGUGAACGCUGGCGGUAGGCCUAACACAUGCAAGUCGAACGGCAGCACAGUAAGAGCUUGCUCUUACGGGUGGCGAGUGGCGGACGGGUGAGGAAUACAUCGGAAUCUACUUUUUCGUGGGGGAUAACGUAGGGAAACUUACGCUAAUACCGCAUACGACCUACGGGUGAAAGCAGGGGAUCUUCGGACCUUGCGCGAUUGAAUGAGCCGAUGUCGGAUUAGCUAGUUGGCGGGGUAAAGGCCCACCAAGGCGACGAUCCGUAGCUGGUCUGAGAGGAUGAUCAGCCACACUGGAACUGAGACACGGUCCAGACUCCUACGGGAGGCAGCAGUGGGGAAUAUUGGACAAUAGGCGCAAGCCUGAUCCAGCCAUACCGCGUGGGUGAAGAAGGCCUUCGGGUUGUAAAGCCCUUUUGUUGGGAAAGAAAAGCAGCAGGUUAAUACCCCGCUGUUCUGACGGUACCCAAAGAAUAAGCACCGGCUAACUUCGUG
rnacentral:rRNA from 1 species